AACGCGAAGAACCUUACCUGGGCUUGAACCGCACAGGACCAUCUUUGGAAACAGAGACUUCCCGCAAGGGACCUGUGUAGAGGUGCUGCAUGGCUGUCGUCAGCUCGUGCCGUGAGGUGUUGGGUUAAGUCCCGCAACGAGCGCAACCCUUACUCAUAGUUGCUACCCGCAAGGGAGAACUCUAUGAGGACUGCUCCGGAUAACGGAGAGGAAGGUGGGGAUGAGGUCAAGUCAGCAUGGCCUUUAUGUCCAGGGCUACACACGUGUUACAAUGCGCACCACAAAGCGUCGCAAACCCGCGAGGGGGAGCUAAUCGCAAAAAAGUGCGCCCAGUUCGGAUUGCAGUCUGCAACUCGACUGCAUGAAGCUGGAAUCGCUAGUAAUGGCGCAUCAGAACGGCGCCGUGAAUACGUUCCCGGGCCUUGUA
rnacentral:rRNA from 1 species